ACAAUAAAACAUAUGACAGCUCAGUGUUUGGUCAUCUCACAGUCUGUCUGCUGGUGUUUCUGCCUCAGUUUCUCAUUUUAGGAGUUCUGUGGAUGUGGUUUUUCAUCAGCAUGAACAAAUUAAAAUCUAAAAACAAAACUGAUGACAAACAUGAAGAGACUCAAGUGGUGCACAUCUGGUCUGUGAGUAGAUCAGCUGAACUGCUGGAGCGAUGUCACAACUCUCUCUAUGACAUCAUCACCUAAUCUCUUGGCAGCGACAUCAUUGAUGCAGUGAUGUCACAUACAGUAACAUAAUAAUGACAGUCUUGUGUAGGACAAACAGUAACAUCUCAAUGCUUAAAUCCUGUAAAAACUUUUCUAUGGCACAUCUUUACACAAAUGAUACUGCAAUCUACUCGAUAACAUCUUCACUAUCAGACUUUUAUUGAAUUUCAGAUUGCUUUUCGGUAACACUUUAUUAUAAUGUUCAUGAGUUAACAUUAGUUAAUGUAUUAACUAACAUGAAGAAACCAUGAGCAAUACAUUUGUUACAGUAUUUAUUAAUCUUUGUUAAAGUUAGUUAAUAGAAUAAAGCUGUUCAUUGUUUGUUCAUGUUAGUUCACAGUGCAUUAUCUAACGUUAACCAAAUUUUAAUAAAGUAUUAGUAAUUAUUGAAAUUAACAUUAAUAAAGAUUAAUAAUAGGGCUGGGUAUCGAUUCAGAUUUUCUAGAUCGAUUCAAUUUCGAUUCACAUGCUACCAAAUCGAUUCGAUUUCGAUUGUCGAUUCAAUUUUCGGUUCUGGUUCUCGGACCGUUUUUUAUACUCUAUUCAACCCAAUGAAUAUAGAUUUAUAACAAAUACUAUAUUAAUAAAAAGAACCGUGAACAGCAGGUUAGAAGUGGGUAAUUAAUAAAAUCGACAAAGCACCUGAAACCGCAAUUUUAAGCACUGAAUGAAUGAAUGACAGGCUUGCCUCUUGCUCCUUGUUUACAUGCGCUAGACAAAAAAGAGGGUGACAUCUAGUGAAGAAGACAAGUAAUUCGAUUAAUGUUAAUCUUUCGUUCAAUGUUUGCAGAAAUAAAUAUGAAAGAAAAAAAAAAUCGAUUCUGCUCUUUGAAUCGACCACGUUUUAAAAAACGAUUAAUCGAAAAAUUGAUUUUUUUUCCCAGCCCUAAUUAAUAAAUGCUGCAGGGGCGGUUCUAGGAUUUCAUUCUUAGGGGGGCUUAGCCCUCAGUGAUGAUGUGAAGAAAGCAUUGUGAUGCCUUUUUGCAAAUUGAUUGACUAUUAUUAUAUUCAUAAAUUCAUGUAGGCUACAUACAUUACUCUUCUAUAUUGUUCUAAGCCCUUAUGAUUUUUGAUUUAAGCUAAUAAUAAAAAAACUGUACAGAUAUAAAGGUAUAAAAGUUAUUUAUCACUAUUAUUUAUUAUUGUGUAUCUAUAAUUAAAGUUUAUGUAUACUAUAUGUAUAUUUAAAGUUUAAUGACUACUAACAAUUUAUAUGCGAAUUUAUAUUUAUACAAGUCAGACUUUACUUUUAGUUAUACAUUUUAAAUCAGUUUUACUUUCCAGAUGUCUCAUGCAUGCUUGUAGCAUGCAUAACCUGAUUCAUAAACCUGCACUGAUUCUAAA